UAGGGAAUCUUGCGCAAUGGGCGAAAGCCUGACGCAGCGACGCCGCGUGAGCGAUGAAGGCCUUCGGGUUGUAAAGCUCUGUGGGGAGAGACGAAUAAGGCAUGGCUAACAUCCAUGUCGAUGACGGUAUCUCCUUAGCAAGCACCGGCUAACUCUGUGCCAGCAGCCGCGGUAAGACAGAGGGUGCGAACGUUGUUCGGAAUUACUGGGCGUAAAGCGCGUGUAGGCGGCAGCGCAAGUCGGGCGUGAAAUCCCACGGCUCAACCGUGGAAGUGCACUCGAAACUGCGCAGCUAGAGUCCUGGAGAGGAAGGUGGAAUGCUUGGUGUAGAGGUGAAAUUCGUAGAUAUCAAGCGGAACACCGGUGGCGAAGGCGACCUUCUGGACAGUGACUGACGCUGAGACGCGAAAGCGUGGGGAGCAAACAG
rnacentral:rRNA from 1 species